rnacentral:rRNA from 1 species
AUUGAACGCUGGCGGCAUGCCUUACACAUGCAAGUCGAACGGUAACAGGUCUUCGGAUGCUGACGAGUGGCGAACGGGUGAGUAAUACAUCGGAACGCGCCUAGUAGUGGGAGAUAACUACUCGAAAGAGUGGCUAAUACCGCAUGAGAUCUACGGAUGAAAGCAGGGGAUCGCAAGACCUUGUGCUACUAGAGCGGCCGAUGGCAGAUUAGGUAGUUGGUGGGAUAAAAGCUUACCAAGCCGACGAUCUGUAGCUGGUCUGAGAGGACGAUCAGCCACACUGGGACUGAGACACGGCCCAGACUCCUACGGGAGGCAGCAGUGGGGAAUUUUGGACAAUGGGCGCAAGCCUGAUCCAGCAAUGCCGCGUGCAGGAUGAAGGCCUUCGGGUUGUAAACUGCUUUUGUACGGAACGAAAAGCCCCGGGUUAAUACCCUGGGGUCAUGACGGUACCGUAAGAAUAAGCACCGGCUAACUACGUGCCAGCAGCCGCAGUAA